UACGUAGGUGACGAGCGUUAUCCGGAAUUACUGGGCGUAAAGCGCACGCAAGCGGUCUGCGAAGUCUGGCGUGAAAUCCCCUGGCUUAACCAGGGGCGGUCGCUGGAAACUGGUGGGCUUGAGGCGAUGAGAGGGGUGCAGAAUUCCCGGUGUAGUGGUGGAAUGCGUAGAGAUCGGGAGGAAUACCAGUGGCGAAAGCGGCACCCUGGCGUCUGCCUGACGCACAUGUGCGAAAGCGUGGGGAGCGAACGGG
rnacentral:rRNA from 1 species